rnacentral:tmRNA from 2 species
GGGGUCGUUACGGAUUCGACAGGCACUAUGAGAUACAUUCUGCGACUCAUCGGCAGAUGUAAAAAUGCCAGUUAAAUAUAACUGCAAAAAAUACAAAUUCUUACGCUGUAGCUGCCUAAAAACCAGCUCGCGUGAUCUCUACAGGAUUGCUUGUGUUUUGCUAGAGGUUUCAUUGAUUAGCAAGCUACGUUUGAUUAUUGCCUAGCUAGUCAAAAAGAGAUUUAUAGGCUCGCUUAAUCUAGGUUUGAGUUAUGUAUCGAGCUUAAGUUAAAUCAAAGACAUAACCUAUGGUUGUAGACGAAUGUAUUGGCAGGUGUUUGGACGUGGGUUCGACUCCCACCGGCUCCA